rnacentral:tRNA from 1 species
CCUGCUGGCUCAGGCAGUAGAGAAUCUGCCUGCCAUGCAGGAGACCCAGGUUUGAUCCCUGGGGGUAGGA